AGCUAAGGCUAAGCAAACCGUUACUAAGUUAGACUUGGCCUCCUGCCACGAUCUAACUUCAAGUAACGGGAACCUGCAUUAAAACAAGUCAACAAACAAUCCCUAGCUAACCAUAUAUACGCCUGAGUUCAAUACUCAUGUAGUGUUAGACACUUAGACUAUACAAGUAUCAUUAAUCGAUCAACCAACAAUCAAACAAGAACAUGAUCGGCCAACCAAUGAUACCACAUAGCUUUAAUACCCUUCACAAGCAAUCCCUCAAACAUAUACAUGCCAACAUCAGGCCUACACUAACCAAAUACACACCAAGCCUAAUCCGGUACCUAAACCAGACUUAAGACUUAAUGUCAGAACCUGCAAGCAAAUCAGUCAACCACAAACACAAUCACAAUAAUAAGACUAUGAGUAACUACGACUCGAUCUAACUUGUAACACCGUAUAUCGAUGUUACACUAACUCGAUCUAAACACAACACAACACACUACCCCGGGAAAUGGUGACUUAGUGUUCAU
rnacentral:lncRNA from 1 species